CCAGGAGGCUGGACCAAUUGGCUCUGUGGUCCUAGUUUUCUAAUUGUUUAUUGAAGAGAAGAUUGAUCUUCACUAUUAAGUGAAAAUGGCUGAUUAUAAAAAGGGCUUACAAACAAUAUUUAACAAAUCUUCAUCAAGUCCCUACUCUGUGGCAGGCCCUGGGUCAGGAGGUUGCCGAUUCCAGGAAGAAUCAGACCUUAUCCCUGCCCUUGAGUCUCAAGAAGAGAAAAGGAAAACAAAUAAGCAUAGUGCAGUGUGAAAAGUGGGACUGUGGUCCAAUUUCAGUCUGCAAACUCAAAUGGAUGAAAUAUGAAAGACUGACAACAUCAAGUGUAGGACAGGAUGUGGAGCCACUGGAACUCAUACGUGACUGAUGGGAAUGCAAAAUGAUACCGAUCCCUUGGAAAACUCCUUGGCAACUUUAAUAAACAUAAAUCUA
rnacentral:lncRNA from 1 species